rnacentral:rRNA from 1 species
UACGAAGGGUGCAAGCGUUACUCGGAAUUACUGGGCGUAAAGCGUGCGUAGGUGGUUUGUUAAGUCUGAUGUGAAAGCCCUGGGCUCAACCUGGGAAUUGCAUUGGAUACUGGCAGGCUAGAGUGCGGUAGAGGGUAGUGGGAUUCCCGGUGUAGCAGUGAAAUGCGUAGAGAUCGGGAGGAACAUCUGUGGCGGAAGGCGACUACCUGGACCAGCACUGACACUGAGGCACGAAAGCGUGGGGAGCAAACAGG